CUCCCAAGCCGUAGUUUCUAUUUUUAUUCUGUUUAAAUAUGUACACGUGAUGUGGACGCCGACGUCUCUUUGGAGAUGUGAAUUUAUGCUUUGGAUGAAUAAUUCAAUUAUACAAACACGUUGGACUUUGACGUCAUCAGUGGUCGACCAGAACAAAAACAUGGCGGAAAGUCAUUCGGCUUGACUUCGAAUACUCAACCUAAAGAAUCCUCAGAAGUGUCUGGACCGGACAAAUUUACUUUUUUUUGGGUUGAGGAGGACGAGGAAGGGAGUCCUAUCCCAAAGAGGAGGAGAACAGGGAAGAAGCGGGCAAAGAGUUCAUCCUCAGUGACUUCUGGGAGCAUGCACUCAUUGCCAUGUGCUCCAUCUACAAGUGGACAUCAGCACGUGACUGAGACCGUUCAAGAUAUAUAUUUUAGCAGCAGUUUAUUUACCCUCUUCUUUCCAUGUUUGUCUUAUUGCUGCUAUAUUUGGUUACCUUACCCUGUUUUCUAGGAUCCCUCAUUCAAGAGGUGCAGGACCUUUUGGGACCUGCCAUAGACCCAGCACCUUCACACUGGAAAGACAGGAAAGCUUCAACUCUGGAAAAGUGGACUGUGUUAAGGCCGUAUAUGGUUAAUCAGAUGUUACAGUCUGAGAAGCCUAUAGAGGGAACUUGUCACCACUGCAGAUCUAAGACUGCUGUUGUGAAAUGUCAGGAUUGUUUGCCUAGACCACUUCACUGUGCAGCCUGUGAUGUUUCCAUCCACAAUUCCAUGGUUUUCCAUAAUAGAUCAUCCAUGAUAGAGGGAUUCUACAGGCCACUGCCACCAACCACUCACAUCAGGGAAGAGAAGGGAGGAAAAUUCUCCUUCCAUGAAAGAGAGUGCAUUUUGCCAGUAAUGCAUCCAUGCUAUGACUGCUGCUCUGGGCAAACAACCUUUUCUGCAGGAAAGCAAGUAAUUCUGAUUGGAAUGAAUGGUCGAUACAAUGUGUCCCUCCCAACUGUCAGCUGCUCCUGUGGGAAAGCUUUGGAUGUCGGUAUUAGUGAGCUGAUUGAAAGUGGCUACUGGCCAGCUACAGUCCAUUUUGAGACGCUGUACACAGUGGAUUUGUUCGCUACAUACGAAGAGCUCAAGAUUACUGCACCAGGAAUGUAACGACAAGCUUUCGUUGGUAUGCUUGAGCAGCGCACAAAACUCUUUGGUCGGGUUAGUACAUCAUUGGACUAAUUGCCUGCAGAAUUGAAAGAGUUUAUGUGGCGACACCAUACAAAAAUCAUUCCUGGAAUGGUCGUACGCAAAAUUUGAAGUUGAGAGGCUGUCUGAAGUCGAUCAG